CACAUCUCCUGCAUUUUAAAUCCAUCAUCUUAAUGAUAGGAAGUAGAUUUUAUCUUUAGCUGUCUGGACUCAUGAUUGAUGAUUGCAUUGAUCAGAGUUCUAAAUACUUCAAAAUUAUUUUUCUCUAUAAAGUUAUCAUUAUAUAAAUCAUUCUUUUACUUAUUUCCUUCUGCAGCAAUUCAUAGAUGUCUUCUUAGGUUCCUCUGAGUCUUUCUGUUUCAUCAUUUCUUAGUGGUAUAAACAAUAUUUCCAUCUUCUAGAAUCUAGAUGAUGCAGUGGAUAGAGCACUUUCCCUGGAGUCAGGAGGACCUGAGUCCAAAUCUGGCCUCAGGCACUUAACACGCGCUGUGUGACCCUGGGCAAGCCACUUAACUCCAAUUGCCUUGCCAAAAAAAAAAUUCCGUAUUCCAACAUAUAUGCUGUAAUUUAUUGAUCAAUUCUUCAAUGGUUGGUAACUCCCUUGUUUCCAAUUUGGGACGACUAUGAAAAAGCUGCUACAAUACUUUUGUAUAUAUAGGUCUUCUUUUGUCUUUGGCAUAUAAAUCUAGUAAUAUUUAAAUAUAUGGAUACAUAGUAAUAGUUAUAUAGGUAUUUCCUCUUUUAGGGCAAGUCAAAGGAUAUGCAGUUUAGUAGAUUUUUGAGCAUAAUUCCAACUCACUUUCCAGAAUGGCUGAACCAAUUCACAGCUGUGUCAAGAGUAUACUAGUGGUACUCCCAACACUGCUCAUUUCCUGUUUUUAUCAUCUUUUCAAAUAUGAUGAAUAUGAAGUAGAAAGCAACUACUUUUCAAAUUAGUAUCAAACCAACAAUAAUUAAGUUCCUAAUAUAUGUAUAAUAUUGUGUUAAGUACAGGGUAUAUAAAAACAAGCAAAAAACCUCAAAAUAAAACAGUACAUAUUCUCAAGCUCAUAUUCUAAUGAAGGAAGCAACAUGCAAACAACUAUUUACAAAUAAGAUAUAAAGAUUCAUUGGAGAUAAUCUCAGAUGUGGACCAUAAAGAUUGAGGACUGCGAAAGGCUUCUUGUAGAUUGGUUAGAUUCUAACUAGACAUUGAAGAAGUCAGGAGGUGAAGAUGAGGAAGGAGAGAGCAAAGGAAUUUUAGAAGCAAAUCAAGGGGACAUAACCUGCAAACAAGCCUAAUCAUCAAUGAAAAAAUAAAAGUACAAUCAAUAGAAGAGUUAGAUACUUAUGAAGCAUUCCUACAAAGAAAAUCAGACAUGAACAAAUUGUUCUUUGCAAACACUUUAGAGAGCAGAAAAUUAGGAAAGAGAAAUAACCUCACCUGAGGUCCACAAUUGUUAAACAUUGUAUAAGUUUUGGGAAUUUCUUAAAUGUAUGAAUCAGUUGUGCUGAAUUCAUUUUUUCCUCUAAAAACAAAAGCAAAACAAAAUUUUGUCAUAUGAGAUGGUUCUCAAAGGUUGGCGAAAGAACAUGAGGAGAUAUUAUGGUGAAACAAAACACCAAUAAAAAUUAUUUUUAAUCCUCCAAUUGAUAAAUGGUCAAAGGAUAUGAACAAUUCUCAGACGAAGAAAUUGAUACUAUUUCUAGCCAUAUGGAAAGAUGCUCCAAGUCAUUAUUAAUCAGAGAAAUGCAAAUUAAGACAACUCUGAGAUACCACUACACACCUGUCUGAUUGGCUAGAAUGACAGGGAAAGAUAAUGCGGAAUGUUGGAGGGGAUGUGGGAAAACAGGGACACUGAUACAUUGUUGGUGGAACUAUGAACACAUCCAGUCAUUCUGGAGAGCAAUUUGGAACUAUGCUCAAAAAGUUAUCAAACUGUGCAUACCCUUUGAUCCAGCAGUGUUUCGACUGGGCUUAUACCCCAAAGAGAUACUAAAGAAGGGAAAGGGACCUGUAUGUGCCAAAAUGUUUGUAGCAGCCCUGUUUGUAGUGGCCAGAAACUGGAAACUGAAUGGAUACUCAUCAGUUGGAGAAUGGCUGAAUAAAUUGUGGUAUAUGAAUGUUAUGGAAUAUUAUUGUUCUGUAAGAAAUGACCAGCAGGAUGAUUUCAGAAAGGCCUAGAGAGACUUACAUGAACUGAUGCUGAGUGAAAUGAGCAGGACCAGGAGAUCAUUAUAUAUUUCAACAACAAUACUAUAUGAUGAUCAAUUCUGAUGGACGUGGCUCUCUUCAGCAAUGAGAUGAACCAAUCAGUUCCAAUAGAGCAGUAAUGAAUUGAACCAGCUACACCUAGGGAAAGAACUCUGGGAAAUGACUAUGAACCAUUACAUAGAAUUCCCAAUCCCUAUAUUUUUGUCCGCCUACAUUUUUUAUUUCCUUCACAGGCUAAUAGUACACUAUUUCAAAGUCCAAUUCUUUUUGUGCAGCAAAAUAAUUAUUUGGACAUAUAUGCUUAUAUUGUAUUUAAUUUAUACUUUAAAUAUUUAACAUGUGUUGGUCAACCUGCCAUCGGGGGGAAGGGAUGGGGGGAAGGAGGGGGAAAAUUGGAACAAAAGGUUGGGCAGUUGUCAAUGCUGUAAAAUUACCCAUGCAGAUAACUUGUAAAUAAAAAGCUAUUUAAAAAAAGAAAAAAAUUAUUUUUAAAAAUAUAGCAACUGGUAAUGUCACAGAUAACAAAAUUAAUUGCCCUAGAACCAACCCCUCUCCCCCCAAAAAACCCCACCAACAACUAAAAAGAGAAAGACAACUAUGGUAUUAAGAAUAAGAAUAAAAAAAUAAUACAGGGAAUUCUUUCUAAAAGUACAGAAGGAAACAAAAGUGAAAUUCAAAAUCCAAUACAAGUGAGGUAAAGAAACCCUGAAACAUCAUGAACUAAGUCUCAUAAUACUGUAUCUAUAGGGGAAUCCAAGUUUUUUGUUGUACUGAGUUGAAAAAUUGAGAAGGCACAUAAAAGGAGAGAGAGAAGGAGGAAGCUAGAGGGAAAUAUGGGAUAUGCCAUAAGUGAAAGAUUAACAAUGAAACAGUCUUGUAAUUUUUAGGAAGAAGAGAACCCACCGAAUGGGUAAGGGACACAAAGGAAAGAACUAAAAAGAAGGAAAGAAAAGAAAAAAAAUCCUGUUUCAUUGGUGGAAAAGGGUAGUGCUAAAAAAUGCUCCAGUGGAAGGAGACAAAUGGAAAUGUAGUUAUUGUUCACUCAUGUCCUACUAUUGAUUAUCCCAUUUGGAGCAGAGAUACUGGAGCCAUUUCUUUCUCCAGAUCAUUUUACAGAUAAGGAAACUGAGGCAAAUGAUGUUAAAUGACUUGCUCAGCUAGUGAGCAUCUGAGGCUGAUUUGAGUUUAGAAAGAUCAGUCUUCCUGACUCCCAGCCUGGUCCAUCCACUGUAUCACCUAGCUACAUUUAAGUGGAGUUGGGGACCUUAACAAUGGAUUAACUAUUUAGGGAUUUAGACUGACCAAGUUCCUGGAGAAAAUUGUCAUCCUCUGGAAUGAGUGGGAAAAUCUGGACCCAAAGAGAAUAAAUUAGGGUAAGUGGGAAUCAUAGGGGAAAUCAGAGAGGUCAGCACAAUUAGAGAUAUAAUUAAAUUCGUACAAUGAGGCAAUACUCUAUUACCUGCAAGAAUAGGCAUUUCUAAGAGUGAAGCAUGACAGAGAAAAAAAGGAACCUCUACAAGACAAUAACAUAGAAACUGUUUAGAAGAGGGACCUCAAAUAUAUUCUGAUGGAAGUGGAUCUCUUCGAUAAAGAGAGUUAAUUCAGAUCAAAGAUGGACAGAAGCAGCCACACCCAAAGAAAGAACACUGGGAAAUAAAUAUAAACUGCUUGCAUUUUUGUUUUUCUUCCCAGGUUAUUUCUACUUUCUGAAUUCAAUUCUCCCUGUGCAACAAGAAAACUGUUCGGUUCUGCACACAUAUAUUGUAUCUAGGAUAUACUGUAACCUAUUCAAUAUGUAAAGGACUGCUUGCCAUCUAGGGGAGGGGGUGGAGGGAGGGAGGGGAAAAAUCGGAACAGAAGUGAAUGCAAGGGAUAAUGCUGUAAAAAAAAUUACCCUGGCAUGGGUUUUAUCAAUAAAAAGUUAUUAAAAAAAAAAAGAAAAGAAAAGAAAAGGGACCUCAAAAUGGAUCCUUUAGAAGUUUUAAUUCCAUGAGUAAUAUAAAGAUGAAAGAAAUUAAAAAUAAGGGCCAUGAAUCAAAUAAUAAAAAUCUAGAAUAGACAGUAAAAAAAGAGAAAUAAUGAAGUAAAUGAGGGAAAUAAAUUCUUGUUGGAAAAAAGGUACAGAAAAUGAACAUUUAAAACUAACAAAAGUUUUAAGGGGAAGAGAGAAUGGGAGAUUUUUUUCUCAAAUAAAAGAAAUUUUAAAUACCAUAAAGAAUAAAGAAAAAGUAGUAAGAAAAACUCUAAAACUAAAGGAAAGAGUAAUGAGAAGUGUACUGGGGAGGAAGGUAUGGAGUGAGAGGAAGAGAGCCAGAGGAAAUAGAAUUGUCAAAGAUUAAACAAAAAUAACUGAAGGGACAAAAUAUUAUCCAAAAGAGAAAGAUGGGGAACAGAAAAUAUUAGAAACAAGUAGAGGAAGAUAGAAACCUAAUUCUCAUUUAUUUUUUUCUGUGUAAAUGUUUUUCUUUAUUUUUGACAUUUUCUUUUGAAAUUUUGAGUUCUAAAUGAUCUCCUUCCCUCCAAUCCCCUCCUCCACCCAUCGCGAAACCAAGCAAUAUGAUUUCAAUUAUAUCUGUGAAGUUAUGCAAAACAUUUUCAUAUUAGCCAUAUACUUUUUUAAAGCAAGAAAAAUAAGAGAAUGUUAUGCUUUAAUUUGUACUCAGAAUGUUAUCAGUUCCUUCUUUGGAGACAGAUAGCAUUUUUCUAUCAUGAGGCCUUUGGAAUUGUCUUGGAUCAUCAUAUUGAUCAGAAUAAUCAAGUUCUUCACAGUUGAUCUUCAUUACAACAUUGUUGUUACCAUGCCCGUCAUUUCCUGUUUCUUAUAUCAUUUUGCAUCAGUUCAUAUAGAUCUUGCCAUGAAACUCCCCUUCAUUGCUUCUAGCACAAUGAUGUGCUAUCACAAUCAUAUGCCACAAUUUGUUCAACCAUUUCCCAGUUUAUGGGCAUUCAUGUAAUUUCCAAUUCUUUGACACUACAAAAAUAUCUCCAUAAAUAUUUUUGUACAAAUAAGUUUUUUUCCUUUGUCCUUGAUCUCUCUAGAAUACACACUUAGUAAUGGUAUUGCUGAGUCAAAAAAUACGCACAAUUUUAUAGCCCUUUCGGUAAUAGCUUCAAAUUGUUUUCCAGAAUCAUUGGACAAUAUAAUGUACAGACAAUCUCUAUACUCUACCAGCCAUUUUCUGAUGUAUGUAGUACACUAAUUAAGUCUAAGGUACACAACAUUUGUAGAUCUGACCAAGGCCUUUGAUACUGUCAAAUGUGAGGGCUUAUGGAAAAUUAUGUUAAAAUUUUGGUUGUCCAGAAAAAUUCAUCAGUAUUGUAUAUCAAUUUCAGGCAUAUUUGCCCCAGUUCUGGAUAAUGGACAAUGUUCUUGAGCUUUCCCAAGUCACCAAUGGAUUGAAGCAAGGCAGUGUGCUUGUUCCCAUACUUUUUAGCAUGAUGUUUUCAGCCGUGUUGUCUAAUGCCUCCCACACAGCAUCAAGCUCAGCUACUGUACUGAUAAAAAGUUCAACUUGAAAAGGCUACAAGCUAAGACUAAAGUGGAGGGAAUGUUGGUUUGCAGAUGGUUGUGCACUCAGUGCAACUUCAAAAGCUGAGAUACAACAAAAUAUGGGUUGAUUUUCUGCUAUUUGUGCUAAUUUUGGCCCACAAGACACCAAGAAAAUACAGAUACAUCAUAUGUGGAACCAUUAGUUACAGCAAAUGGAAAAGUUCUGAAUGGUGUGGAUUAGUUUACUUAUCUUAGGGCUAUCCAUAUUGAUGAGAUAGACACACUCAUUGCCAGAAUUAGUACAGUGUUUAAAAGGCUCCAAACUAAUAGACUAACCAACCAAAUUAGACUUACUACUAAAAUGAAGGUCUACGAAGCCAUUGUGCUGAGCUCAUUGUAACAUGUCUGGGAAAUCUGUAUAUUAUAUAAGUGCCAUGCCAGAAAAAUUAAUCCACUUACAUUUGAAUUGUCUUAGGAAAAUUCUGAACAUCACCUGGCAGGAUAAGAUAGCAAAUAUUGAAGUUCUUGCUUGAACUAAGCUGUUAAGCAUUCAAACUCUGCUGCAAAGCAUGCAGCUACAUUGGGUUAGCCACAGUGUGUACACUUGCCAAAAGGACUAUUAUAUGGAGAAUUCACAUAGGACAAAGUCAGAAAAAAUGAUACGACAGUGCUCUCAAAUUCUCAAAACUUUAGAAUUGAUUGCAGAUAUUGUCAGCAAGUUCCCUCCAGGCUGAAGGGUCUUAAACCUCACCCAGAGUUUCCCCACUGACUGUAUUCUUUAACUCUUCUAGGAAUUCUUAUCGGACUGGGAUCCAAUUAGCAUUUUUCUUUGAGGCUUUUUUUGAUAGCUAUUUUCACAUUGUUGUCUUCUUCUGGGCUUAUGUCUUGGUCUUCCUGGCCACCACAGUAGUUUUUAAUAGUCAAAUUCUUUUUUUUAUUGUUGCUUGCUCAUAUUCCCAACCUGUUUCUUAAUUUUGAACUUUAUGUUAAAGUUGGGCUCUGCUUACCUGGAAGUGGGGAUUCAUUGUCAAAAGCUUCAGGCUUUUUCAUUUUAUUGUUUUCAGAGCUAGUUCUGGAGGUUUGCAAAUUUUGGGUUUUUUCAAUGUGCUGUGAUCCUGAGAAAGAUGUAGUCACUGCUCUCCUGGUCUUCUCUGUGGUCUUUACCAACGAAGAGUCCCUAAUCACCCUUAGCUGCAUUGUCUAGUGCUCCUCUGUGCUUUGAUACUGUAAGAUUUCGUGUUCCAAAUUUUUCUCCCUCCUUCCCUUACCUCCUCUUCUCCAAGACAGCCAGCAAUUUGACAUAGGUUAAAUAUGUGCGGUUCUUUUAGACAUAUUUCCAUAUUUGUCACAUUGUGCAAGAAAAAUCAGCCCAAAGGGGGGAAAAACAUGUAAAAGAAAACAAACAAAAAAUCAUAAAAAUACUGUACUUUGAUCCACAUUCAUUCUUAUAGUUCUUGCUCUGAAUGUGGAUAGCAUUUUCCAUCUCAAGUCUAUUGGAAUUGCUUUGAGUCACCACACUGUUGAAGAGCCAAGUUCAUCAUAGUUAAUCAUCACUAAUCUCGCUUUUACUGAGUAUAAUGUUCUCCUGGUUCUGCUCACUUCACUCAGACUCACUUCAUGUAAAUCUCUCUAGGUUUUUCUGAAAUCAUCCUGCUCAUCAUUUAUUACGAACAAUAAUAUUCCAUUACAUUCAUAUUCCAUAACUUGUUCAGCCAUCUCUUAACAGAUGGGCAUCCACACAAUUUCCAGUUCCUUGUCACUACAAACAGGGCUGCCACAAGCAUUUUGCACAUGUGGAUCCCUUUCCCUUCUUUAGUAUCUCUUUGGGCUAUAAGCCCAGUAGAAACACUACUGGGUCAAAGGAUAUGCACAGUUUGAUAGACCUUUGGGCCUAGUUCCAUAUUGCUCUCUAGAAUGGUUGGAUCAGUUCACACAACUCUACCAACAAUGCAUUAGAGUUGCAGUUUUCCCAAAUCCCUUCAAGUAUGUAUUAUCUUAGCUAAUCUUUGCAUUUCUCUCAUCAAUAGUGGUUUAGAGCAUUUUUCAUAUGAUUAGAAAUGGCUUUAAAUUCUUCAUCUGAAAAUUGUCUAUUUACAUCCUUUGACCAUUUAUCAAUUGAGAAUGAUUUGCAUUCUUAUAAAUUUGACUCAAUUCUCUGUAUAUUUUAGAAAUGAGGCUUUUAUCAGAAAACACUGGCUGUAAAAGGUGUUUUCCAUUUUUCUAUUUUCCUUGGUUGCAUUGGUUUUGUUUAUGCAAAAGCUUAUUCAUUUAAUGUAUCAAAAUCAUCCAUUUUGCAUUUGAUAACAUUCUCUAGUUCUUCUUUGGCCAUAAAUUCCUUCCUUCUCCAAAAAUCUGACAAGUAAAUUACCCUUGAUAGUCUCCUGAUUUACUUAUAGUAUCAUCCUUUAUCUGACCCACACUUUUGACCUUUUUUUUUUUUUUAUGAAAAAUUUCUUAUCCUUCUAGGAGUUGAUCUGGGCUCAGUGCUUGUGGUCCUGGGAGCCAUGGACUUCACUGGGGUUGGCAUUGUUGCUGGUUCCCAGGCAGCAGAGAUGAUGCCAGCCCCGGCUGCUGCCAGUGUAGCUUGGUGGCUCUGCUGCAAACUGUGGGUUCAUCUGGACUGUUAACUGGGGUAAAUGUAGCCCUGGCAGGAGUGGGUUUAGCAGUUGGAGGAGCCAUUGCAACAUCGCUUCUUUGAAUGUGACACAAAAACAAUUCAGUAACCAAGAAACAAAAUAAAACUUUCCUCCACAA